rnacentral:rRNA from 1 species
GAUGAACGCUGGCGGCGCGCCUAACACAUGCAAGUCGAACGAUUAAAGCACCUUCGGGUGUGUAUAAAGUGGCGAACGGCUGAGUAACACGUGGGCAACCUGCCCCUCUCAUUGGGAUAGCCACGGGAAACCGUGGAUAAUACCGAAUACUUCGGGACUUCCGCAUGGAAGACUCGAGAAAGCUCCGGCGGAGAGGGAUGGGCCCGCGGCCUGUUAGCUUGUUGGUGGGGUAAUGGCCUACCAAGGCAAUGAUGGGUAGCUGGGUUGAGAGACCGACCAGCCAGAUUGGGACUGAGACACGGCCCAGACUCCUACGGGAGGCAGCAGUGGGGAAUCUUGCACAAUGGGCGCAAGCCUGAUGCAGCGACGCCGCGUGCGGGAUGAAGGCCUUCGGGUUGUAAACCGCUUUCAGCAGGGACGAGGCGAAAGUGACGGUACCUGCAGAAGAAGCCCCGGCUAACUACGUG